CUUUUUGUUGCUGACGAUUUGUGUGUGUUAAAUCUCCGAGGCACACCAAAAAAUUCCAGUCCGAUCCCUGAGAUCUACAAAAUCGCUUUAAAUGCAUUUUUGAUAAGAGGAACAUUCUACGGCUAUGUCAAAACAGCCAAGUCGAGCCGCGAGGGACCAAAAUAUCAAAAAGAAGGAAUUUCUGAUUGCAUAAGAUUCACACAAUAAUUUUUAAUCCAAGUAAUGUUAAAGUAUAAGAUCUGUUAAAACCGAAAUGAACGUAAUGAUAUUGCUAUACAUAAUGCUAUAUGAAAGAGAGAAAAAAAAAGUAAGCUUGAGAUCAAAGAAUAUGAUUGCGAAGUCAAAAGGCAGACGACAAAAAUUAUCAAUCCUGAACUUGAAAAACAAAAAUAUCAAGCUUGCAAAAGAAGACCAAAACUAAUGUUUAGUGAUUACUAGAUCUUUAUCUGUCGCCACAUUACCGGUGAAAAUGUUUGCUAAUCAUGCAGGCGUAGGAGUAGCUGUGUGAUGUCGUGACGGAAAAAUAGAGGGAGACCCGCUUCUCUUUUAUAAUAUGAAAUUAUGCAGGCAUGCAAGAGGAACAGUGUUAUAUGCUGAUGUAAGUGCUGGUUUGUUGACUUAAAGAUUAUGUAAUAACAAUAGACUAAAACGUACCAGCUGAAGCGCAUAUCAGAUGACAUGAAAGCUGUUAUAACAGGAACCAGAAAAAAAAAAUGAAAUGCAGGUAAAAAGAUUAGUCAAACGUCAGGUUCACUUACAAGUAACAUUGUUACGUAUACCUAUAAGAUAAUGAAGGGUGAGAACUUACCCUAUAUUUUCCGAAGGUGGCGAGAUAAACGUUUGUCAACGACCGUUUGG
rnacentral:lncRNA from 1 species